rnacentral:rRNA from 1 species
AGCGAACAGACGAGGAGCUUGCUCCUCUGACGUUAGCGGCGGACGGGUGAGUAACACGUGGAUAACCUACCUAUAAGACUGGGAUAACUUCGGGAAACCGGAGCUAAUACCGGAUAAUAUAUUGAACCGCAUGGUUCAAUAGUGAAAGACGGUCUUGCUGUCACUUAUAGAUGGAUCCGCGCCGCAUUAGCUAGUUGGUAAGGUAACGGCUUACCAAGGCAACGAUGCGUAGCCGACCUGAGAGGGUGAUCGGCCACACUGGAACUGAGACACGGUCCAGACUCCUACGGGAGGCAGCAGUAGGGAAUCUUCCGCAAUGGGCGAAAGCCUGACGGAGCAACGCCGCGUGAGUGAUGAAGGUCUUCGGAUCGUAAAACUCUGUUAUUAGGGAAGAACAAAUGUGUAAGUAACUAUGCACGUCUUGACGGUACCUAAUCAGAAAGCCACGGCUAACUAC